UACGGAGGGGGCUAGCGUUGUUCGGAAUUACUGGGCGUAAAGCGCACGUAGGCGGCUUGGUAAGUUAGAGGUGAAAGCCUGGAGCUCAACUCCAGAAUUGCCUUUAAGACUGCCGAGCUAGCAGGUGAGAGAGGUGAGUGGAAUUCCGAGUGUAGAGGUGAAAUUCGUAGAUAUUCGGAAGAACACCAGUGGCGAAGGCGACUUACUGGACACAUAUUGACGCUGAGGUGCGAAAGCGUGGGGAGCAAACAGG
rnacentral:rRNA from 1 species